rnacentral:rRNA from 1 species
GACCUCGGAUCAGUAGGGAUACCCGCUGACUAAGC